UCAAUAUAUAAUUUGAAUCAGGUCAAAGUUGAAAUCUUUGGGUUAAACCUUUUAAACGUUUAAAUAUGAUACCCUUUUGAAAAUUACAUAUUAACCCUGGAUUGAAAUUGAAAACUAGGUCCUUCAUAUUUAAAAUUGCAUGACAGGAACUUAUUUAAGUAAUUACAAUAUGACCCCCAACUGAUAAUUGCAAACAGGGGUUUGAAGAUUACUUAUUUACAGUAGAAGCCCCCGUCUACCUUUGGUCCAUUUUCUACAGAACUGAAUUUUUUUUUCUUUCCUGCGGCGUUAGCGGCAUCCCGCGCCACUGCAACCUGUGCGACAACAACAUGCUGCCACCGAUCAACCAAUUUUUUUUUUUAAUUCUUGAUAAUCACCAUAGACAAAAAUCCACACACAAAUUCAAUUGAAGAUUCAAAUUAGCAAGGUUCUUCAAAAUGCAAUAUGGGUAAUCAAGAUGCAACAUAUACAAAUUAAGAAAAAAAAAUUGCAUUCAUGGUGGUGUUCCAAAAACCUUGCUGCAGUAGGGGUUGUCAUCCGGCGGCUGUAACAUGGUCUUUUACAGAUUGGGUUUAGGGAUUUGGUUUCAGAAUUUUACAUACAAUGAGGAGAAAAACAGCCAUGGAUUUGGAGAAAAUCAUAUAAAGACAAAAUCUCUACCACGGAAGAAGGAAACGGGUCUUCUUGCAAAUUGGGUUUUGGAUUUCUUUUGAUGCUUACAUGAUGAAUCGUGUUAUAG
rnacentral:lncRNA from 1 species